rnacentral:rRNA from 1 species
UACGGGGGGGGCAAGCGUUGUUCGGAAUUACUGGGCGUAAAGCGCACGUAGGCGGCUUUCUAAGUCGGGGGUGAAAUCCUGGAGCUCAACUCCAGAACUGCCUUCGAUACUGGAGAGCUCGAGUCCGGGAGAGGUGAGUGGAACUGCGAGUGUAGAGGUGAAAUUCGUAGAUAUUCGCAAGAACACCGGUGGCGAAGGCGGCUCACUGGUCCGGAACUGACGCUGAGGCACGACAGCGUGGGGAUCAAACAGG